rnacentral:rRNA from 1 species
ACCGGGUCCCCGUCAUCCCACAGACCGACCCGUCACCCUCAAACACCGCCAGUCACCCUCACACACCGCCCGUCACCCUCAGACACCGCCCGUCACCCUCACACACCGCCCGUCACCCUCACACAACGCCCGUCACCCUCACACACCGACCGUCACUUGCACACACAGCCUAUAUACCUCACAUACCCAGCCAACACUCUAACGAAAGAACAAGACUGCAUCUCAAUAGCCCCUCGCUAAUAAGACAGGUCAAGGUAUAGCCUAUGGGGUGGGAGAAAUGGGAUACAUUUUCUAACAUAGAACAAACGAAAAAGGACGUGAAACCCGCCCUUAGAAGGAGGAUUUAGCAGUAAAGUGAGAUCAUACCCCCUAAGCUCACUUUAAGACGGCUCUGAGGCACGUACACACCGCCCGUCACCCUCACAANCAGCCCGUCACCCUCACACACCGCCCGUCACCCUCACACACCGCCUGUCACCUUCACACACCGUCCGUCACCA